UCCCAAAUAGCUCAGUUGGUAAAGAAUCCGCCUGCAAUGCAGGAAACCCUGGUUCAAUUCCUGGAUUGGGAA
rnacentral:tRNA from 1 species